rnacentral:rRNA from 1 species
CCCUUAGAUGUUCUGGGCUGCACGCGCGCUACACUGAUGCACUCAACGAGUUUACGAGCUUGUCCGAGAGGAUUGGCUAAUCUUUUUAAAAUGCAUCGUGAUGGGGAUAGAUUAUUGCAAUUAUUAAUCUUCAACGAGGAAUUCCUAGUAAGCGCGAGUCAUCAGCUCGUGCUGAUUACGUCCCUGCCCUUUGUACACACCGCCCGUCGCUCCUACCGAUUGAGUGCUCAGGUGAAUAAUUCGGACUGCAGCAGUGUUUGGAUCCCGAACGCUGCAGCGGAAAGUUUAGUGAACCUUNUNACUUAGNGGAAGGAGAANUCGUANCA